AUCUGACCUCGAAUCAGGUGGGACUACCCGCUGAACUUAAGCAUAUCAAUAAGCGGAGGAAAAGAAACUAACAAGGAUUCCCCUAGUAACGGCGAGUGAAGCGGGAUGAGCUCAAAUUUAAAAUCUGGCAGUCUUUGGCUGCCCGAGUUGUAAUCUAGAGAAGUGCUUUCCGCGCUGGACUGUGUACAAGUUUCCUGGAUAUGGAACAUCAUAGAGGGUGAGAAUCCCGUCCUUGACACAGACUCCCAGUGCUUUGUGAUGCGCUCUCAACGAGUCGAGUUGUUUGGGAUUGCAGCUCAAAAUGGGAGGUAAAUUCCUUCUAAAGCUAAAUAUUG
rnacentral:rRNA from 1 species